GUACAUGUGGGGCAAGCGUUGUUCGGAAUUACUGGGCAUAAAGGGUGCGUAGGCGGCUUGUUAAGUCAGUGGUGAAAGUUUUCGGCCCAACCGGAAAAUUGCCGUUGAUACUGGCGAGCUUGAGUGCGUGAGGGAUAGGGGGAACGAGCAGUGUAGCGGUGAAAUGCGUAGAUAUUGCUCGGAAGGCCAGAGCCGAAGGGGCCCUAUUGGUACGUAACUGACGCUGAGGCACGAAAGCGUGGGGGAGCAAACAGGG
rnacentral:rRNA from 1 species